rnacentral:rRNA from 1 species
GACGAACGCUGGCGGCGUGCCUAAUACAUGCAAGUUGAGCGCUGAAGGUUGGUACUUGUACCAACUGGAUGAGCAGCGAACGGGUGAGUAACGCGUGGGGAAUCUGCCUUUGAGCGGGGGACAACAUUUGGAAACGAAUGCUAAUACCGCAUAAAAACUUUAAACACAAGUUUUAAGUUUGAAAGAUGCAAUUGCAUCACUCAAAGAUGAUCCCGCGUUGUAUUAGCUAGUUGGUGAGGUAAAGGCUCACCAAGGCGAUGAUACAUAGCCGACCUGAGAGGGUGGUCGGCCACAUUGGGACUGAGACACGGCCCAAACUCCUACGGGAGGCAGCAGUAGGGAAACUUCGGCAAUGGACGAAAGUCUGAACGAGCAACGCCGCGGGAGGGAAGAAGGUUUUCGGAUCGUAAAACUCUGUUGGUAGAGAAGAACGUUGGUGAGAGUGGAAAGCUCAUCAAGUGACGGUAACUACACAGAAAGGGACGGCUAACUACGUG